rnacentral:lncRNA from 1 species
CACCUUGACUGCACGCCCGACAUCUGGGCGCUGCAGGAGGGGAGUGCCUGGCUCACACCUUUCAUGCACGCUGCCACUCAUCACUCCCACACGGCCUCCUUACUGCGUUGCCUCCUGGAGCCGCUGUCGGUUUACCCUGACUUGGCCAAGGUGGUGGGCUGCCAGUGCUCAUCUCUGUCAGUUGCAGCUGAGAGUUUCUUAUCAAAAGAAAUGUGGUUGGCACCCCCACAGUUCUACGAAAUAAGAAGGCUUGAAAACUUGGCCUCUCUCCCUGACUUGCACAAAUUGUGUUUGGAUGGUACAUUAGAAAGAUAGAAAAGAUGGCUGCCCAUCACCUUGUUAACCGCUGAUGGGAAGCUCCAGCUUUUUGCAGUUGAUGAGCUACACUUGGAAGAUUCAGACUUUUUAGAAAAACUUUUUUCUACUGCAAAGAAAGCUGAAGAAAUCAUGAAGGAAGGCAAGCAGUUUCACAGAAUAGUGAUAUCCAAUCACAAUCUUUAUGAUAUCUACGUGAGUGUUCAAAGUGUAAACACGUUUAUCCCAAGAACUCCUUAG